rfam:Triticum aestivum genome assembly, contig: Triticum_aestivum_CS42_TGACv1_scaffold_194499_3AL
UUUGUACUCCCUCCGUCCGGAAAUACUUGUCGGAGAAAUGGAUGAAAAUGAAUGUAUCUAAAAUUAAAUUACGUCUAGAUACAUCCAUUCCUCCGACAAGUAUUUUCGGACGGAGGGAGUACUAA